UGUCGGAUUAUUGGGCGUAAGCGCGCGCAGGCGGUCAUUUAAGUCUGGUGUUUAAUCCCGGGGCUCAACCCCGGAUCGCACUGGAAACUGGGUGACUUGAGUGCAGAAGAGGAGAGUGGAAUUCCACGUGUAGCGGUGAAAUGCGUAGAUAUGUGGAGGAACACCAGUGGCGAAGGCGACUCUCUGGGCUGUAACUGACGCUGAGGCGCGAAAGCGUGGGGAGCAAACAGGAUUAGAUACCCUGGUAGUCCACGCCGUAAACGAUGAGUGCUAGGUGUUAGGGGUUUCGAUACCCUUGGUGCCGAAGUUAACACAUUAAGCACUCCGCCUGGGGAGUACGGUCGCAAGACUGAAACUCAAAGGAAUUGACGGGGACCCGCACAAGCAGUGGAGUAUGUGGUUUAAUUCGAAGCAACGCGAAGAACCUUACCAGGUCUUGACAUCCGUCUGAUCGGUCUAGAGAUGUUCCUUUCCUUCGGGACAUACUAGACAGGUGGUGCAUGGUUGUCGUCAGCUCGUGUCGUGAGAUGUUGGGUUAAGUCCCGCAACGAGCGCAACCCUUGAUCUUAGUUGCCAGCACUUCGGGUGGGCACUCUAAGGUGACUGCCGGUGACAAACCGGAGGAAGGUGGGGAUGACGUCAAAUCAUCAUGCCCCUUAUGACCUGGGCUACACACGUACUACAAUGGCCGGUACAACGGGCUGUGAAGCCGCGAGGUGGAACGAAUCCUAAUAAGCCGGUCUCAGUUCGGAUUGCAGGCUGCAACUCGCCUGCAUGAAGUCGGAAUUGCUAGUAAUCGCGGAUCAUCAUGCCGCGGUGAAUACCUUCCCGGGUCUUGUACACACCUCCCGUCACACCAUGAGAGUUUAUAACACCCGAAGUCGGUGUGGUAACCGCCACGAGCCAACCCCCGAAAGUGAGAUACAUGAUUGGGGUGAAGUCGUAACAAUGUAGCCGGAUC
rnacentral:rRNA from 1 species